rnacentral:piRNA from 1 species
UACAAGAGUGUUGCAGGUCCCUA